rnacentral:rRNA from 1 species
GCCUUGCCGUAAAUUUAGAUGUUUUUCUACAACAAACAUCCGCCUGGGGACUACGAGCGCUAGCUUAAAACCCAAAGGACUUGGCGGUGCUUCAGACCCCCCUAGAGGAGCCUGUUCUAGGACCGAUAACCCCCGUUUAACCUCACUACUCCUUGCUCUCCCCGCCUAUAUACCGCCGUCGCCAGCUUACCCUAUGAAGGCACCACAGUAAGCAGAAUGGGUACUACCCAGAACGUCAGGUCGAGGUGUAGCGUACGAAGUAGGAAGAAAUGGGCUACAUUAUCUGAUACAGAUCACUCACGGAAGGCUGCCUGAAACAGACAGCCCGAAGGCGGAUUUAGCAGUAAGGAAAGACUAGAGCGCUUCCCUGAAGUUGGCUCUGAAGCGCGCACACACCGCCCGUCACUCUCCCCAACAGUACUUGUACUUAGUAUCUAACACAAUAAUAACCGCAAGGGGAGGCAAGUCGUAACAUGGUAAGUGUACCGGAAGGUGCACUUGGAACAAU